GUUCUGCUCAUUUGUGUUGCAAUCGUUUUCAAGUGAGAAAAACAAGUUUUGUAGUUCACCCAGUGCGAGCCGUAUAUCAGCUGUGUGCUCAAGGGAAGAUAGAGGACAAGGGACAGCCAUAUACCUCAGUAUAAAGGUAGAGUGUCGUCCCUGGAUUUGGGAUAAGGGCCAUGGUGAAUAUUUUAAUAGAACCAGACGUGAAGAAGCAUGGCAUGAGAUGGCAGUAGCAUUAUUUGACAACUUUGAUCAAAUGUCUUCUUCAAUUCAGAAUGAGAUUUUAAAGGACAUCCAAAACCAAUAGAAAUCUGCAAGCGACUAUUUUGUGAAGGGUAUCAAGAAAGCAGAAAAAAGUGGGUCAGCUGGUGGCAAAAGGAAAAAAAUACCCUAUGAGGACCAACUUCAAUUUUUACGCCCUAACAGAGUUCUCCGACCAACUUCAGGCAACUUUCAGGCACCAUCCAAUACACAACAAGAUGCAGAUGAAGAGCCAAGGUCUGAGCCUGUACGUUCAGACACACCUUUGGAAUCUGAAGCACCAGGCCCAUCCAAUCCGUUGGAAGAUUUUGACCAACAUCUGGAUGUAGAGGAGGAUGUGUCUAACCUUAGCUGUGAUCUUCCCCCCAGCAGUACACCUACACCAGCUGCUGGUGAGAUUGAAGAGAUGGAAGAAGCCACUAACAUACCUUCUUCACAAACAACCACCAGACCACCCACUGCUCGAAGGACCUGUAGAUCCCUCCGAAUAACUUAUAGUCAACUGAUCAUCAUGUAUCCGGAGGGUUGACAGCAGUGAUGACAGUUCUUAUUUUGGGUAUGAAAUGGCAUCUUGCUGCCCUAAAGUGGCUCUUGACCGCCAAAACUAUUUUAAAGCAUACUGUCACGCUGUUGCACAAGUCUUUCUUUCCCCCCCCAGGCCCUACCUUCAUUAGAGGAUAUGAUUAAAAAUUUGCACAUCACAGCUGGACACAGGGCCCCCAGCCCUCCACCACCUGCACACAAUAUUUCCACACAAACCGAGGGUUUUUAUGUGGUUACUUACAACCCCUCCGCCUUCUCAGUCCUCUUCUGGGGUUUACCCCUACCAUCCUCCCUUUCAAACACAAUACCCUAGUAGCAGUCUAAUUAGCCACCACAACCCCUCUGCAUCAUCUGCAUUGGAGUCUUUUUCCUCUGAACCCACAUAUCACAAUCUGUGAUUUUUCCCAUGAGCAUAAUUGAAGUUGGUCCACAUAUUUUCUUGUUGCAUUGUUUAUACAUUUUCUGUCCAGAUAUUUAUCUUGUUAAAAUAUAUUUUGAAGGCAUUGUUGCCUAAAAAAAUGUUUAUAAAGUGUAAUUUUAUGGCUAGUUCGCCAAAUUUUC